CUUGAUACUUUUGGAGGAAAAGUGGAAGAGAGUACUGAAUCCAACCUCAGGCCUUGUAGAGUGCAUGGUAUUUGAAUUUACUUAUUGACGGUUUUGUUGGAAAUCCUUGUUUCCCAAAACUCAUCUAGACAACUGACCUCUGGCAGGAAACACGGGAGGGGCAGUGCCUCGUGGGAGCGUCUGCCACGCCCCAUCCUGAGCGGGAAUGCUCGGAGAGGCUGGGCAUUAUUUAUGGAGAUGUCCAGGUGACAGGGGGAACUUCUGGCCAGGAACUGCCUGUGGUGUCACAUCCGUAACCUGGCUGACAUCGGAACGCCCUGGGGGGAGCAUUUCUCCAGGAAAGGAUGGUGGGUCAGGAGCCCCCAUGGCGUCUUUUCAAAGCAAUAAUAAAGAUAUCA
rnacentral:lncRNA from 1 species